UUGACGGGGACCCGCACAAGCGGUGGAUGAUGUGGAUUAAUUCGAUGCAACGCGAAGAACCUUACUACCCUUGACAUGUCCGGAACUUGCCAGAGAUGGCUUGGUGCCCGAAAGGGAAUCGGAACACAGGUGCUGCAUGGCUGUCGUCAGCUCGUGUCGUGAGAUGUUGGGUUAAGUCCCGCAACGAGCGCAACCCUUAUCAUUAGUUGCUACGCAAGGGCACUCUAAUGAGACUGCCGGUGACAAACCGGAGGAAGGUGGGGAUGACGUCAAGUCCUCAUGGCCCUUAUGGGUAGGGCUUCACACGUCAUACAAUGGUCGGUACAGAGGGUUGCCAAGCCGCGAGGCGGAGCCAAUCCCACAAAGCCGAUCGUAGUCCGGAUUGUUCUCUGCAACUCGAGAGCAUGAAGUCGGAAUCGCCAGUAAUCGCAGGUCAGCAUACUGCGGUGAAUACGUCCCCGGGUCUU
rnacentral:rRNA from 1 species